rnacentral:tRNA from 1 species
CGGAAUAUAGCAUAUCUAAUGCUCUUUACUUACAUUAAAACUAAAACAACCAGUUUAUUCCGU